UACGUAGGGGGCAAGCGUUGUCCGGAAUUAUUGGGCGUAAAGAGCGUGUAGGCGGUCCGGUAAGUCAGCUGUGAAAGUCAAGGGCUCAACCCUUGAAUGCCGGUUGAUACUGUCGGGCUAGAGUCCGGAAGAGGCGAGUGGAAUUCCCGGUGUAGCGGUGAAAUGCGCAGAUAUCGGGAGGAACACCAAUGGCGAAGGCAGCUCGCUGGGACGGUACUGACGCUGAGGCGCGAAAGCCAGGGGAGCAAACGGG
rnacentral:rRNA from 1 species